rnacentral:rRNA from 1 species
CACGUAGGAGGCGAGCGUUAUUCGGAUUUACUGGGCGUAAAGCGCGUGUAGGCGGCUAUUUAAGUUGGAUGUAAAAGCUCCCGGCUUAACUGGGAGAGGACGUUCAAAACUAGAUAGCUAGAGUAUGAGAGAGGAAAAUGGAAUUCCGGGUGUAGUGGUGAAAUGCGUAGAUAUCCGGAGGAACACCAGUGGCGAAGGCGAUUUUCUGGCUCAAGACUGACGCUGAGACGCGAAAGCUAGGGUAGCAAACGGG